rnacentral:rRNA from 1 species
UACGAAGGGGGCUAGCGUUGCUCGGAAUCACUGGGCGUAAAGGGUGCGUAGGCGGGUCUUUAAGUCAGGGGUGAAAUCCUGGAGCUCAACUCCAGAACUGCCUUUGAUACUGAAGAUCUUGAGUUCGGGAGAGGUGAGUGGAACUGCGAGUGUAGAGGUGAAAUUUCGUAGAUAUUCGCAAGAACACCAGUGGCGAAGGCGGCUCACUGGCCCGAUACUGACGCUGAGGCACGAAAGCGUGGGGAGCAAACAGG